GGGUUGUGAGGUUAAGCGACUAAGCGUACACGGUGGAUGCCUAGGCAGUCAGAGGCGAUGAAGGACGUGCUAAUCUGCGAUAAGCGUCGGUAAGGUGAUAUGAACCGUUAUAACCGACGAUUUCCGAAUGGGGAAACCCAGUGCAAUCCGUUGCACUAUCGUUAAGUGAAUACAUAGCUUAACGAAGCGAACCAGGGGAACUGAAACAUCUAAGUACCCUGAGGAAAAGAAAUCAACCGAGAUUCCCCCAGUAGCGGCGAGCGAACGGGGAACAGCCCAGAACCUGAAUCAGCGUAUGUAUUAGUGGAAGCGUCUGGAAAGUCGCAGGGUACAGGGUGAUACUCCCGUACACAAAAAUACAUGCACUGUGAGUUCGAAGAGUAGGGCGGGACACGUGGUAUCCUGUCUGAAUAUGGGGGGACCAUCCUCCAAGGCUAAAUACUCCUGACUGACCGAUAGUGAACCAGUACCGUGAGGGAAAGGCGAAAAGAACCCCGGCGAGGGGAGUGAAACAGAACCUGAAACCGUGUACGUACAAGCAGUGGGAGCCUACUUGUUAGGUGACUGCGUACCUUUUGUAUAAUGGGUCAGCGACUUAUAUUCUGUAGCAAGGUUAACCGUAUAGGGGAGCCGAAGGGAAACCGAGUCUUAACUGGGCGUUAAGUUGCAGGGUAUAGACCCGAAACCCGGUGAUCUAGCCAUGGGCAGGUUGAAGGUUGGGUAACACUAACUGGAGGACCGAACCGACUAAUGUUGAAAAAUUAGCGGAUGACUUGUGGCUGGGGGUGAAAGGCCAAUCAAACCGGGAGAUAGCUGGUUCUCCCCGAAAGCUAUUUAGGUAGCGCCUCGUGAACUCAUCUUCGGGGGUAGAGCACUGUUUCGGCUAGGGGGCCAUCCCGGCUUACCAACCCGAUGCAAACUACGAAUACCGAAGAAUGUUAUCACGGGAGACACACGGCGGGUGCUAACGUCCGUCGUGAAGAGGGAAACAACCCAGACCGCCAGCUAAGGUCCCAAAGUCACAGUUAAGUGGGAAACGAUGUGGGAAGGCACAGACAGCCAGGAUGUUGGCUUAGAAGCAGCCAUCAUUUAAAGAAAGCGUAAUAGCUCACUGGUCGAGUCGGCCUGCGCGGAAGAUGUAACGGGGCUAAACUGUGCACCGAAGCUGCGGCAGCGACGCUUAUGCGUUGUUGGGUAGGGGAGCGUUCUGUAAGCCGUCGAAGGUGUCCUGUGAGGGAUGCUGGAGGUAUCAGAAGUGCGAAUGCUGACAUAAGUAACGAUAAAGCGGGUGAAAAACCCGCUCGCCGGAAGACCAAGGGUUCCUGUCCAACGUUAAUCGGGGCAGGGUGAGUCGACCCCUAAGGCGAGGCCGAAAGGCGUAGUCGAUGGGAAACAGGUUAAUAUUCCUGUACUCGGUGUUACUGCGAAGGGGGGACGGAGAAGGCUAUGUUAGCCGGGCGACGGUUGUCCCGGUUUAAGCAUGUAGGCGGGAAGUUUAGGUAAAUCCGGACUUCUGUUAACGCUGAGGUGUGAUGACGAGGCACUACGGUGCUGAAGUAACAAAUGCCCUGCUUCCAGGAAAAGCCUCUAAGCAUCAGGUAACAUCAAAUCGUACCCCAAACCGACACAGGUGGUCAGGUAGAGAAUACCAAGGCGCUUGAGAGAACUCGGGUGAAGGAACUAGGCAAAAUGGUGCCGUAACUUCGGGAGAAGGCACGCUGAUGGUAGGUGAAGUGACUUGCUCACGGAGCUGAAAUCAGUCGAAGAUACCAGCUGGCUGCAACUGUUUAUUAAAAACACAGCACUGUGCAAACACGAAAGUGGACGUAUACGGUGUGACGCCUGCCCGGUGCCGGAAGGUUAAUUGAUGGGGUUAGCGG
rnacentral:rRNA from 2 species